rnacentral:miRNA from 1 species
AGGGAAUGUCUGUUCGGUUUGU